AUUGAACGCUGGCGGCAUGCCUUACACAUGCAAGUCGAACGGCAGCGGGGGAGAAGCUUGCUUUUCCUGCCGGCGAGUGGCGAACGGGUGAGUAAUACAUCGGAACGUGCCCUGUAGUGGGGGAUAACUAGUCGAAAGAUUAGCUAAUACCGCAUACGACCUGAGGGGGAAAGUGGGGGACCGCAAGGCCUCAUGCUAUAGGAGCGGCCGAUGUCUGAUUAGCUAGUUGGUGGGGUAAAGGCCUACCAAGGCGACGAUCAGUAGCUGGUCUGAGAGGACGAUCAGCCACACUGGGACUGAGACACGGGCCAGACUCCUACGGGAGGCAGCAGUGGGGAAUUUUGGGCAAUGGGCGAAAGCCUGUUCCAGCAAUGCCGGGUGUGUGCAGAAGGCCUUCGGGUUGUAAAGCACUUUUGUCCGGAAAGAAAUGGCUCUGGUUAAUACCUGGGGUCGAUGACGGUACCGGAAGAAUAAGGACCGGCUAACUACGUGCAAGCCGCCGCCGUAA
rnacentral:rRNA from 1 species